UUAACUAUUAUAUAGUACUCAGACGACACUAAUAUUCAGAGUUUGGGGUCCUCUGGCGGGCGCUUACCAGCCGAAGCCGGUAGCCUGACCGAGGCCGGGCGGCCCGCCAAAGCAACAGAGAUAAUGAUAACAUAGGGUGGGAGGUCUACCCCGAAGGGCAUGAACUCGGUAAUGAUCCCUCCGCAGGUUCACCUACGGAGA
rnacentral:misc_RNA from 1 species